CAUAGCGGAGAUAGCACACUUUGAACGCACCAGUUCCCCACGGAUCACUGAAGUUAAGCAACGUUGCGCAUGGUUAGUACCUGGAUGGUGACCAUCUGGGUUCCAGGCUCCACUCAGG
rnacentral:rRNA from 1 species